CAACCAAGGGCCUCUGUCUGGAUUUCUAAGGAAGAAAUUUUCUUUGAAGAUCUGGAACUUGCUACCACCAGCACCACACCCUACCAAUAUCCAGCACUGACCCCCGAGUAGAAAAAGGAGCUGUCUGACAUUGCUCACUGCAUCGUGGCCCUGGGCAAGGGCAUCCUGGCUGCAGAUGAGUCCACUGGGAGCACUGCCAAGCAGCUGCAGUCCAUUGGCACCAAGAACACUGAGGAGAAGUGGUGCUUCUACCACCAGCUGCUGCUGAGAGCUGAGAACCGCAUGACCCCUGCAUCGGGGGCGUCAUUCUCUUCCACAAGACACUCUACCAGAAGGGGGAUGAUGGAUGUCCCUUCCCCCAAGUUACCAAAUCCAAGGGCAGUGUUGUGGACAUCAAGGUAGACAAGAGUGUGGUCCCCCUGGCAGGGACAAAUGUAAGACCACCACCCAAGGGCUGGAUGGGCUGUCUGAACGCUGUGCCCAGUACAAGACAAACGGUGCUGACUUUACCAAGUGGCGUUGUGUGCUGAUGACUGGGGAACACACCCCCUCAAUCCUCGCCAUCAUGGAAAAUGCCAACGUCCUGGCCUGUUAUGCCAGCAUCUACCAGCAGAAUGGCAUUGUGCCCAUCGUGGAGCCUGAAAUCCUCCCUGAUGGGGACCAUGACUUGAAGCGCUGUCAGUAUGUGACCGAGAUGGUGCUGGCUGCUGUCUACAAGGCUCUGAGAGACCACCACGUCUACCUGGAAGGCACCUUGCCCCAAAGCCCAACAUGGUUACACCAGGCCACAUCCCCACUCAGAAGUUUUCUCACGAGAAGAUUGCCAUGGCAACUGUCACAGCACUGCGCGCGCUCAGUUCCCCGAGCUGUCCUUGGGAUCACCUUCCUUUCUGGAGGCCAGAGUGAGAAGGCAUCCAUCAACCUCAGUGCCAUUAACAAGUGCCCCCUGCUGAAGCAUGAGGCCCUUACCUUCUCCUAGGGCCGAGUCCUGCAGGCCUCUGCCCUGUAGCCUGGGGCAGGAAGAAAAACAAGGCGGCGGCGCAGGAGGAGUACAUAAAGCACGCCCUGGCCAACAGCUUCGCCUGUCAAGGAAAGUACACCCCAACCAGUCAGACAGGGGCUGCUGCCAGCAAGUCCUUCUUCAUCUCUAACCAUGCCUACUAAGUGGAGGUGUUCCCAGGCUGCCCCCAACACUCCAGGCCCCACCCCCUCCCACAUUCUCUUGAAGAGGGGGCCUCCUACUCCGGGGCUCCAGGCUGGCUUGCCCAUGCUCUUGCCUUCCUCAUCACAGUGGUGUGCGGUGUCGUCUGUGAAUGCUAACUCCAUCACCCUUUCCAGCACACUGCCAAUUAACAGCUAUUUAAG